rnacentral:rRNA from 1 species
UACGGGGGGAGCAAGCGUUGUUCGGAUUUACUGGGCGUAAAGGGCGCGUAGGCGGUCGUGACAAGUCACUUGUGAAAUCUCCGGGCUUAACUCGGAACGGUCAAGUGAUACUGUCGGACUAGAGUACAGAAGGGGCGACUGGAAUUCUCGGUGUAGCGGUGAAAUGCGUAGAUAUCGGGAGGAACACCUGUGGCGAACGCGGCGCACUGGACCACAACUGACGCUGAGGCGCGAAAGCUAGGGGAGCAAACAGG